rnacentral:rRNA from 1 species
GGCCCUGCACAAGCGGUGGAGCAUGUGGUUUAAUUCGAUGCAACGCGAAGAACCUUACCUACUCUUGACAUCCAGAGAAGCCAGCGGAGACGCAGGUGUGCCUUCGGGAGCUCUGAGACAGGUGCUGCAUGGCUGUCGUCAGCUCGUGUUGUGAAAUGUUGGUUAAGUCCCGCAACGAGCGCAACCCUUAUCCUUGUUUGCCAGCACGUAAUGGUGGGAACUCCAGGGAGACUGCCGGUGAUAAACCGGAGGAAGGUGGGGACGACGUCAAGUCAUCAUGGCCCUUACGAGUAGGGCUACACACGUGCUACAAUGGCGCAUACAGAGGGUAGCAAGCUAGCGAUAGUGAG